CAAGGUUUGGUCCUGACCUUAUUAUCAGCUAUUACUUAACUUACACAUGCAAGUUUCCGCACCCCUGUGAGAACGCCCUUACCCCUUUCUCAAGAUAAGGAGCUGGCAUCAGGCACAAACAUCUGCCCACGACGCCUAGCAACGCCACACCCCCAAGGGUACCCAGCAGUGAUUAAGAUUGACCAUGAGCGCCAGCUCGAGUCAGUUAUAGUAAAAAGAGUUGGCCAACCCGGUGCCAGCCGCCGCGGCUACACCAUUGGACUCAAGUUGAUUAUACUUCGGCGUUAAGCGUGAUUAAAGUAACCUAAAGAUUAGAGCCAAAUCAAAACAAAGUCGUGACACCCUUGUUCCCCGAAGCACAAAACGAAAGUUACUCUAACAAAACUACUUGACCCCACGACAGCUAAGACACAAACUGGGAUUAGAUACCCCACUAUGCUUAGCCGUAAAACAUCUAUUCACAAUAAAGCCGCCAGGGAAUUACGAGCCCAAGCUUAAAACCCAAAGGACUUGACGGUGUCCCACCCACCUAGAGGAGCCUGUUCUAUAAUCGAUACCCCCCGAUCCACCCGACCGCCCCUUACAUAUUCAGCCUGUAUACCUCCGUCGAAAGCCCUCCGUGUGAACGCACCUAGUUAGCUCAAAGAUUUCUCAUCCAAACGUCAGGUCAAGGUGCAGCCAACGAGGCGGAAAGAAAUUGGCUACAAUCUCUACUUUAGAACAAACGGAAGACCGCUGCAACACGGUCAUUGAAGGCGGAUUUAGCAGUAAAAAGAAAAUAGAGAGUUCUUUUUAACCAGGCACUGGGACGCGUACACACCGCCCGUCACCCUCUUCUAACCCUCAGUAAUUGUAAUUAACACCAUACAACAACCACAGAAGAGGCAAGUCGUAACAUGGUAAGCGUACUGGAAAGUGCGCUUGGAACAACAAA
rnacentral:ncRNA from 1 species